CCUACGGGGGGCUGCAGUGGGGAAUACUGCACAAUGGGCGCAAGCCUGAUGCAGCCAUGCCGCGUGUGUGAAGAAGGCCUUCGGGUUGUAAAGCACUUUCAGCGGGGAGGAAGGCGGUGAGGUUAAUAACCUCAUCGAUUGACGUUACCCGCAGAAGAAGCACCGGCUAACUCCGUGCCAGCAGCCGCGGUAAUACGGAGGGUGCAAGCGUUAAUCGGAAUUACUGGGCGUAAAGCGCACGCAGGCGGUCUGUCAAGUCGGAUGUGAAAUCCCCGGGCUCAACCUGGGAACUGCAUUCGAAACUGGCAGGCUAGAGUCUUGCAGAGGGGGGUAGAAUUCCAGGUGUAGCGGUGAAAUGCGUAGAGAUCUGGAGGAAUACCGGUGGCGAAGGCGGCCCCCUGGACAAAGACUGACGCUCAGGUGCGAAAGCGUGGGGAGCAAACAGGAUUAGAUACCCUUGUAGUC
rnacentral:rRNA from 1 species